UUCAAUUAGAUAAACAAAAGGCUUUUGGAGAAAUAUGGUUCUGAGAGGGUUCUUGAUACCCCAAUCACAGAGGAGGUAAAAUGCAGAACAUUUGUUAACCAAGUCACUUAUUUCGGACUAAAAAAAAGCUGCGAGAACCGGUGACUUAGAGCUUUUUCGUCGCGACUUGGAGCUUUCUC